CUUGUGUUAAGCUGUAUUUUAAGUGUUCUUUUGAUGAGUUUGGCUUGUUCUUAUGAACAUUGUUUGUUUGGGCGAGUUUGAAGGUUUGUGAGCAUGUGUUAUGGCACGUAUGUGUUGAAUUAGUUAACCCUUGUGUUAAGCUGUUGUUUUAGUGUUCUUUUGAUGAGUUUGGCUUGUUGUUAUGAUCAUUGGUUGUUUUGGCGAGUUUGAAGGUUUGUGAGCAUGUGUAAUGGCAUGUAUGUGUUGAAUUGGCUACCUCUUGUGUUAAGCUGUUGUUUUAGUCUUCUUUUGAUGAGUUUGGAUUGUUGUUAUGAACAUUGUUCGUUUUGGCGAGUUUGAAGGUUUUUGAGCAUGUGUUAUGGCACGUAUGUGUUGAAUUGGCUACCCCUUGUGUUAAGCUGUUGUUUUAGUCUUCUUUUGAUGAGUUUGACGUGCUGUUAUGAACAUUUUUCGCUUUGGCGAGUUUGAAGGUUUUUGAGCAUGUGUUAUGGCACGUAUGUGUUGAAUUGGCUACCCCUUGUGUUAAGCUGUAUUUAAGUGUUCUUUUAAAGAGUUUGGCUUGUUGUUAUGAACAUUGUUUGUUUUGGCGAGUUUGAAGGUUUCUGAGCAUGUGUUAUGGCACGUAUGUGUUGAAUUGUCUGCCCCGUGUGUUAAGCUGUUGUUUUAGUCUUCUUUUGAUGAGCUUGGCUUGUUGUUAUGAACACUGUUUGUUUCAGCGAAUUUGAAGGUUUUUGAGCAUGUGUAAUGGCACGUAUGUGUUGAAUUGGCUACCCCUUGUGUUAAGCUGUAUUUUAAGUGUUCUUUUAAAGAGUUUGGCUUGUUGUUAUGAACAUUGUUUGUUUUGGCGAGUUUGAAGGUUUUUGAGCAUGUGUUAUGGCACGUAUGUGUUGAAUUGUCUGCCCCGUGUGUUAAGCUGUUGUUUUAGUCUUCUUUUGAUGAGCUUGGCUUGUUGUUAUGAACACUGUUUGUUUCAGCGAAUUUGAAGGUUUUUGAGCAUGUGUAAUGGCAUGUAUGUGUUGAAUUAGUUAACCCUUGUGUUAAGCUGUUGUUUUAGUCUUCUUUUGAUGAGUUUGGCGUGCUGUUAUGAACAUUGUUCGUUUUGGCGAGUUUGAAGGUUUUUGAGCAUGUGUUAUGGCACGUAUGUGUUGAAUUGGCUACCCCUUGUGUUAAGCUGUAUUUUAAGUGUUCAUUUAAUGAGUUUGGCUUUUUGUUAUGAACAUUGUUUGUUUAUGGCGAGUUUGAAGGUUUUUGAGCAUGUGUAAUGGCAUGUAUGUGUUGAAUUAGUUAACCCUUGUGUAAAGCUGUUGUUUUAGUGUUCUUUUGAUGAGUUUGGCUUGUUGUUAUGAUCAUUGCUUGUUUGGGCAAGUUGGAAGGUUUUUGAGCAUGUGUAAUGGCAUGUAUGUGUUGAAUUCGUUAACCCUUGUGUUAAGCUGUAUUUUAAGUGUUCUUUUGAUGAGUUUGGCGUGCAGUUAUGAACAUUGUUCGUUUUGGCGAAUUUGAAGGUUUUUGAGCAUGUGUUAUGGCAUGUAUGUGUUGAAUUAGUUAACCCUUGUGUUAAGCUGUUGUUUUAGUGUUCUUUUGAUGAGUUUGGCUUGUUGUUAUGAUCAUCGUUUGUUUUGGUGAGUUUGAAGGUUUCUGAGCAUGUGUUAUGGCACGUAUGUGUUGAAUUGGCUACCCCUUGUGUAAAGCUAUAUUUUAAGUGUUCUUUUAAAGAGUUUGGCUUGUUGUUAUGAACAUUAAUUGUUAUGGCGAGUUUGAAGGUUUCUGAGCAUGUGUUAUGGCACGUAUGUGUUGAAUUGGCUACCCCUUCUGUUAAGCUGUAUUUUAAGUGUUCUUUUGAUGAGUUUGGCUUGUUGUUAUGAUCAUUGUUUAUUAUGGCGAGUUUGAAGGUUUGUGAGCAUGUGUAAUGGCACGUAUGUGUUGAAUUAGUUCACCCUUGUGUUAAGCUGUUGUUUUAGUGUUCUUUUGAUGAGUUUGGCUUGUUGUUAUGAUCAUUGGUUGUUUUGGCGAGUUUGAAGGUUUGUGAGCAUGUGUAAUGGCAUGUAUGUGUUGAAUUGGCUACCUCUUGUGUUAAGCUGUUGUUUUAGUCUUCUUUUGAUGAGUUUGGCUUGUUGUUAUGAACAUUGUUUGUUUUGGAAAGUUUGAAGGUUUUUGAGCAUGUGUAAUGGCAUGUAUGUGUUAACCCUUGUGUUAAGCUGUUGUUUUAGUGUUCUUUUGAUGAGUUUGGCUUGUUGUUAUGAUCAUUGUUUGUUUUGGCGAGUUUGAAGGUUUUUGAGCAUGUGUUAUGGCACGUAUGUGUUGAAUUGGAUACCCCUUGUGUUAAGCUGUUGUUUUAGUCUUCUUUUUAUCAGUUUGGCAUGUUGUUAUGAACAUUGUUUUGGCGAGUUUGAAGGUUUUUGAGCAUGUGUAAUGGCACGUAUGUGUUGAAUUAGUUAACCCUUGUGUUAAGCUGUUGUUUUAGUGUUCUUUUGAUGAGUGUGGCGUGUUGUUAUGAACAUUGUUCGUUUUGGCUAGUUUGAAGGUUUUUGAGCAUGUGGUAUGGCAUGUAUGUGGUGAAUUGGCUACCCCUUGUGUGAAGCUGUAUUUUAAGUGUUCUUUUAAAGAGUUUGGCUUGUUGUUAUGAACAUUGUUUGUUUUGGCGAGUUUGAAGGUUUCUGAGCAUGUGUUAUGGCACGUAUGUGUUGAAUUGGCUACCCCUUGUGUUAAGCUGUAUUUUAAGUGUUCUUUUGAUGAGUUUGGCUUUUUGUUAUGAUCAUUGUUUAUUAUGGCGAGUUUGAAGGUUUGUGAGCAUGUGUAAUGGCAUGUCUGUGUUGAAUUAGUUCACCCUUGUGUUAAGCUGUUGUUUUAGUGUUCUUUUGAUGAGUUUGGCUUGUUCUUAUGAUCAUUGUUUGUUUUGGCGAGUUUGAAGGUUUGUGAGCAUGUUUAAUGGCACGUAUGUGUUGAAUUGGCUCCCUCUUGUGUUAAGCUGUUGUUUUAGUCUUCUUUUGAUGAGUUUGGCUUGUUGUUAUGAACAUUGUUUGUUUUGGCGAGUCUGAAGGUUUUUGAGCAUGUGUAAUGGCAUGUAUGUGUUAACCCUUGUGUUAAGCUGUUGUUUUAGUCUUCUUUUGUUGAGUUUGGCUUGUUGUUAUGAACAUUGUUUGUUUUGGCGAGUUUAAAGGUUUUUGAGCAUGUGUAAUGGCAUGUAUGUGUUGAAUUGUCUGCCCCGUGUGUUAAGCUGUUGUUUUAGUCUUCUUUUGAUGAGCUUGGCUUGUUGUUAUGAACACUGUUUGUUUCAGCGAAUUUGAAGGUUUUUGAGCAUGUGUAAUGGCAUGUAUGUGUUGAAUUAGUUAACCCUUGUGUUAAGCUGUUGUUUUAGUCUUCUUUUGAUGAGUUUGGCGUGCUGUUAUGAACAUUGUUCGUUUUGGCGAGUUUGAAGGUUUUUGAGCAUGUGUUAUGGCACGUAUGUGUUGAAUUGGCUACCCCUUGUGUUAAGCUGUAUUUUAAGUGUUCAUUUAAAGAGUUUGGCUUUUUGUUAUGAACAUUGUUUGUUUAUGGCGAGUUUGAAGGUUUUUGAGCAUGUGUAAUGGCAUGUAUGUGUUGAAUUAGUUAACCCUUGUGUAAAGCUGUUGUUUUAGUGUUCUUUUGAUGAGUUUGGCUUGUUGUUAUGAUCAUUGCUUGUUUGGGCAAGUUGGAAGGUUUUUGAGCAUGUGUAAUGGCAUGUAUGUGUUGAAUUCGUUAACCCUUGUGUUAAGCUGUAUUUUAAGUGUUCUUUUGAUGAGUUUGGCGUGCAGUUAUGAACAUUGUUCGUUUUGGCGAAUUUGAAGGUUUUUGAGCAUGUGUUAUGGCAUGUAUGUGUUGAAUUAGUUAACCCUUGUGUUAAGCUGUUGUUUUAGUGUUCUUUUGAUGAGUUUGGCUUGUUGUUAUGAUCAUCGUUUGUUUUGGUGAGUUUGAAGGUUUCUGAGCAUGUGUUAUGGCACGUAUGUGUUGAAUUGGCUACCCCUUGUGUAAAGCUAUAUUUUAAGUGUUCUUUUAAAGAGUUUGGCUUGUUGUUAUGAACAUUAAUUGUUAUGGCGAGUUUGAAGGUUUCUGAGCAUGUGUUAUGGCACGUAUGUGUUGAAUUGGCUACCCCUUCUGUUAAGCUGUAUUUUAAGUGUUCUUUUGAUGAGUUUGGCUUGUUGUUAUGAUCAUUGUUUAUUAUGGCGAGUUUGAAGGUUUGUGAGCAUGUGUAAUGGCACGUAUGUGUUGAAUUAGUUCACCCUUGUGUUAAGCUGUAGUUUUAGUGUUCUUUUGAUGAGUUUGGCUUGUUGUUAUGAUCAUUGGUUGUUUUGGCGAGUUUGAAGGUUUGUGAGCAUGUGUAAUGGCAUGUAUGUGUUGAAUUGGCUACCUCUUGUGUUAAGCUGUUGUUUUAGUCUUCUUUUGAUGAGUUUGGCUUGUUGUUAUGAACAUUGUUUGUUUUGGAAAGUUUGAAGGUUUUUGAGCAUGUGUAAUGGCAUGUAUGUGUUAACCCUUGUGUUAAGCUGUUGUUUUAGUGUUCUUUUGAUGAGUUUGGCUUGUUGUUAUGAUCAUUGUUUGUUUUGGCGAGUUUGAAGGUUUUUGAGCAUGUGUUAUGGCACGUAUGUGUUGAAUUGGAUACCCCUUGUGUUAAGCUGUUGUUUUAGUCUUCUUUUUAUCAGUUUGGCAUGUUGUUAUGAACAUUGUUUUGGCGAGUUUGAAGGUUUUUGAGCAUGUGUAAUGGCACGUAUGUGUUGAAUUAGUUAACCCUUGUGUUAAGCUGUUGUUUUAGUGUUCUUUUGAUGAGUGUGGCGUGUUGUUAUGAACAUUGUUCGUUUUGGCUAGUUUGAAGGUUUUUGAGCAUGUGGUAUGGCAUGUAUGUGGUGAAUUGGCUACCCCUUGUGUGAAGCUGUAUUUUAAGUGUUCUUUUAAAGAGUUUGGCUUGUUGUUAUGAACAUUGUUUGUUUUGGCGAGUUUGAAGGUUUCUGAGCAUGUGUUAUGGCACGUAUGUGUUGAAUUGGCUACCCCUUGUGUUAAGCUGUAUUUUAAGUGUUCUUUUGAUGAGUUUGGCUUGUUGUUAUGAUCAUUGUUUAUUAUGGCGAGUUUGAAGGUUUGUGAGCAUGUGUAAUGGCAUGUCUGUGUUGAAUUAGUUCACCCUUGUGUUAAGCUGUUGUUUUAGUGUUCUUUUGAUGAGUUUGGCUUGUUCUUAUGAUCAUUGUUUGUUUUGGCGAGUUUGAAGGUUUGUGAGCAUGUUUAAUGGCACGUAUGUGUUGAAUUGGCUCCCUCUUGUGUUAAGCUGUUGUUUUAGUCUUCUUUUGAUGAGUUUGGCUUGUUGUUAUGAACAUUGUUUGUUUUGGCGAGUCUGAAGGUUUUUGAGCAUGUGUAAUGGCAUGUAUGUGUUAACCCUUGUGUUAAGCUGUUGUUUUAGUCUUCUUUUGAUGAGUUUGGCUUGUUGUUAUGAACAUUGUUUGUUUUGGCGAGUUUAAAGGUUUUUGAGCAUGUGUAAUGGCAUGUAUGUGUUGAAUUGUCUGCCCCGUGUGUUAAGCUGUUGUUUUAGUCUUCUUUUGAUGAGCUUGGCUUGUUGUUAUGAACACUGUUUGUUUCAGCGAAUUUGAAGGUUUUUGAGCAUGUGUAAUGGCAUGUAUGUGUUGAAUUAGUUAACCCUUGUGUUAAGCUGUUGUUUUAGUCUUCUUUUGAUGAGUUUGGCGUGCUGUUAUGAACAUUGUUCGUUUUGGCGAGUUUGAAGGUUUUUGAGCAUGUGUAAUGGCACGUAUGUGUUGAAUUGGCUACCUCUUGUGUUAAGCUGUUGUUUUAGUCUUCUUUUGAUGAGUUUGGCUUGUUCUUAUGAUCAUUGUUUGCUUUGGCGAGUUUGAAGGUUUGUGAGCAUGUUUAAUGGCACGUAUGUGUUGAAAUGGCUCCCUCUUGUGUUAAGCUGUUGUUUUAGUCUUCUUUUGAUGAGUUUGGCUUGUUGUUAUGAACAUUGUUUGUUUUGGCGAGUCUGAAGGUUUUUGAGCAUGUGUAAUGGCAUGUAUGUGUUAACCCUUGUGUUAAGCUGUUGUUUUAGUCUUCUUUUGAUGAGUUUGGCUUGUUGUUAUGAACAUUGUUUGUUUUGGCGAGUUUAAAGGUUUUUGAGCAUGUGUAAUGGCAUGUAUGUGUUGAAUUAGUUAACCCUUGUGUUAAGCUGUUGUUUUAGUCUUCUUUUUAUCAGUUUGGCUUGUUGUUAUGAACAUUGUUUGUUUGGGCGAGUUUGAAGGUUUUUGAGCAUGUGUAAUGGCAUGUAUGUGUUGAAUUAGUUAACCCUUGUGUUAAGCUGUAUUUUAAGUGUUCUUUUAAACAGUUUGGCUUAUUGUUAUUAUCAUUGUUUGUUUUGUCGAGUUUGAAGGUUUUUGAGCAUGUGUAAUGGCAUGUAUGUGUUGAAUUAGUUAACUCUUGUGUUAAGCUGUUGUUUUAGUCUUCUUUUGAUGAGUAUGGCUUGUUGUUAUGAUCAUUGUUCGUUUUGGCAAGUUUGAAGGUUUGUGAGCAUGUGUUAUGGCACGCAUGUGUUGAAUUGGCUACCUCUUGUGUUUAGCUGUAUUUUAAGUGUUCUUUUAAAGAGUUUGGCUUGUUGUUAUGAACAUUGUUUGUUUUGGCGAGUUUGAAGGUUUGUGAGCAUUUGUAAUGGCAUGUAUGUGUUGAAUUAGUUAACCCUUAUGUUAAGCUGUUGUUUUAGUGUUCUUUUGAUGAGUUUGGCGUGUUGUUAUGAACAUUGUUCGCUUUGGUGAGUUUGAAGGUUUUUGAGCAUGUGUUAUGGCACGUAUGUGUUGAAUUGGCUACCCCUUGUGUUAAGCUGUAUUUUAAGUGUUCAUUUAAAGAGUUUGGCUUUUUGUUAUGAACAUUGUUUGUUUUUGGAGAGUUUGAAGGUUUUUGAGCAUGUGUUAUGGCACGUAUGUGUUGAAUUGGCUACCCCUUGUGUUAAGCUGUUGUUUUAGUCUUCUUUUUAUGAGGUUGGCUUGUUGUUAUGAACAUUGUUUGUUUUGGCGAGUUUGAAGGUUUUUGAGCAUGUGUAAAUGGCAUGUAUGUGUUGAAUUAGUUAACCCUUGUGUUAAGCUGUUGUUUUAGUUUUCUUUUGAUGAGUUUGGCUUGUUGUUAUGAACAUUGUUUGUUUUGGCAAGUUUGAAGGUUUUUGAGCAUGUGUAAUGGCACGUAUGUGUUGAAUUGGCUACCUCUUGUGUUAAGCUGUUGUUUUAGUCUUCUUUUGAUGAGUUUGGCUUGUUGUUAUGAACACUGUUUGUUUCGGCGAGUUUGAAGGUUUUUGAGCAUGUGUAAUGGCAUGUAUGUGUUGAAUUAGUUAACCCUUGUGUUAAGCUGUUGUUUUAGUCUUCUUUUUAUGAGGUUGGCUUGUUGUUAUGAACAUUGUUUGUUUUGGCGAGUUUGAAGGUUUUUGAGCAUGUGUAAAUGGCAUGUAUGUGUUGAAUUAGUUAACCCUUGUGUUAACUGUUGUUUUAGUUUUCUUUUGAUGAGUUUGGCUUGUUGUUAUGAACAUUGUUUGUUUUGGCAAGUUUGAAGGUUUUUGAGCAUGUGUAAUGGCACGUAUGUGUUGAAUUGGCUACCUCUUGUGUUAAGCUGUUGUUUUAGUCUUCUUUUGAUGAGUUUGGCUUGUUGUUAUGAACACUGUUUGUUUCGGCGAGUUUGAAGGUUUUUGAGCAUGUGUAAUGGCAUGUAUGUGUUGAAUUAGUUAACCCUUGUGUUAAGCUGUUGUUUUAGUCUUCUUUUGAUGAGUUUGGCUUGUUGUUAUGAACAUUGUUUGUUUUGGCGAGUUUGAAGGUUUUUGAGCAUGUGUCAAGACAUGUAUGUGUUGAAUUAGUUAACCCUUGUGUUAAGCUGUUGUUUUAGUGUUCUUUUGAUGAGUUUGUCUUGUUGUUAUGAACAUUGUGUGUUUUGGCGAGUUUGAAGGUUUUUGAGCAUGUGUAUUGGCAUGUAUGUGUUGAAUUAGUUAACCCUUGUGUUAAGC
rnacentral:lncRNA from 1 species